AUUUGCCUAAUGAAGGGAAAUAUAACUUAAUUAUAUUUUUAGAGAGUUACUGGUUGGUGCAAAGUAAUAAUUAAUAAGUUUAGUCCAUCCCAGAAGGAAAGUUUAAUAACUUCGUUAACUGUCGUUAAAGUUAUUUAAGUGGUGUUUAUAAAAAAACACAAUUAGGGUGGCAACACGGAAACAAUCGUCCCUUGG
rnacentral:ncRNA from 1 species